rnacentral:rRNA from 1 species
GACGAACGCUGGCGGCGUGCUUAACACAUGCAAGUCGAACGGAAAGGCCCUGCUUUUGUGGGGUGCUCGAGUGGCGAACGGGUGAGUAACACGUGAGUAACCUGCCCUUGACUUUGGGAUAACUUCAGGAAACUGGGGCUAAUACCGGAUAGGAGCUCCUGCUGCAUGGUGGGGGUUGGAAAGUUUCGGCGGUUGGGGAUGGACUCGCGGCUUAUCAGCUUGUUGGUGGGGUAGUGGCUUACCAAGGCUUUGACGGGUAGCCGGCCUGAGAGGGUGACCGGCCACAUUGGGACUGAGAUACGGCCCAGACUCCUACGGGAGGCAGCAGUGGGGAAUAUUGCACAAUGGGCGGAAGCCUGAUGCAGCAACGCCGCGUGCGGGAUGACGGCCUUCGGGUUGUAAACCGCUUUCGCCUGUGACGAAGCGUGAGUGACGGUAAUGGGUAAAGAAGCACCGGCUAACUACGUGCCAGCAGCCGCGGUGAUACGUAGGGUGCGAGCGUUGUCCGGAUUUAUUGGGCGUAAAGGGCUCGUAGGUGGUUGAUCGCGUCGGAAGUGUAAUCUUGGGGCUUAACCCUGAGCGUGCUUUCGAUACGGGUUGACUUGAGGAAGGUAGGGGAGAAUGGAAUUCCUGGUGGAGCGGUGGAAUGCGCAGAUAUCAGGAGGAACACCAGUGGCGAAGGCGGUUCUCUGGGCCUUUCCUGACGCUGAGGAGCGAAAGCGUGGGGAGCGAACAGGCUUAGAUACCCUGGUAGUCCACGCUGUAAACGGUGGGUACUAGGUGUGGGGUCCAUUCCACGGGUUCCGUGCCGUAGCUAACGCUUUAAGUACCCCGCCUGGGGAGUACGGCCGCAAGGCUAAAACUCAAAGGAAUUGACGGGGCCCCGCACAAGCGGCGGAGCAUGCGGAUUAAUUCGAUGCAACGCGUAGAACCUUACCUGGGUUUGACAUGGAUCGGGAGUGCUCAGAGAUGGGUGUGCCUCUUUUGGGGUCGGUUCACAGGUGGUGCAUGGCUGUCGUCAGCUCGUGUCGUGAGAUGUUGGGUUAAGUCCCGCAACGAGCGCAACCCUUGUUCACUGUUGCCAGCACGUUAUGGUGGGGACUCAGUGGAGACCGCCGGGGUCAACUCGGAGGAAGGUGGGGAUGACGUCAAGUCAUCAUGCCCCUUAUGUCCAGGGCUUCACGCAUGCUACAAUGGCUGGUACAGAGAGUGGCGAGCCUGUGAGGGUGAGCGAAUCUCGGAAAGCCGGUCUCAGUUCGGAUUGGGGUCUGCAACUCGACCUCAUGAAGUCGGAGUCGCUAGUAAUCGCAGAUCAGCAACGCUGCGGUGAAUACAUUCCCGGG